ensembl:lncRNA
CUCACCUUAACUAAAUCCCACCACUCUAACACCCCCUCGCACAUGGACCGGAGGCCGUCAAGCCUCCGAAAGAAACAAAAAAAUGCGUCAACGAAAGCCUGCUCCUCCAGUAUAUCCCGAUCUAACUUCCAGUACCCCCUACCGAAGUGGCAGACUGGCGACCCCACCUGCAGGAACACCCCGUCGUGAUCCGUGAAGAAAACAGGCAACAGCCGCCCAGACAACUGACCCAAAGACCUGGAUACAAAAAUGUAGUCGAGCCUCCGCGCAUCCCCCCUGGAGUUGCGCCAUGUAGGACCGACCAUUGCCGGAUUAGUGUGCAGGCCACCAUCAACCAGACCAUGGCAAGCCAUUAGCCCAGAGAUGGCACCUGCACUGCUAUCACCGCCUACCCCUAAAUCUAUAUUAAAGUCUCCUCCUAUCACCAAGUGCCUGUUUGUAACACACAGGGGCACCAGACAGUCCACCAUCUCCCUCCUGUCUGCCGCCACCUGUGGCCCAUACACCCCAAUUAACCUAUAUCUAGCUUCUCUAAACUUAACAUCUAUCCCCAAAACUCUACCCUGCAUUAUUACAAAAGUGUUCUCUAUUUUAACCUCUCUAUGCCCACACAAAAUCCCUACUCCUGUUGAGUGCACCCCUCCUAUGCCCCAAAAAGAUUCCCCCUUAUCCCACUCCCUCUUAAAUCUACACACAUCCCCACCAUCCCUCAGGUGAACCUCCUGUAAAAAACAGAAAUCAAACCCCACACCCUCUAAAUAACAAAAAACCGCCUUCCUUUUAACAUUAUUCCUUAACCCCCUAACAUUUAGACUAAAAAAAGAAACAGAACUAUUCAUUUAAUUACUAACAACAAAUAAAAAAAUAUUUUUUUUAAAAAAAAAACAGGAGACUCACCCGAUGCUCCCCUGGUCCAUCUCCACCGGCGGGGACGUCCUCUCCUCUCCUGACGCCCCCCCGUCCUCCAUCCCAACCCAUGACCCAGGCAGUGUGUUGGGUCCUCCCUCCCCACCCACCAUCCCCCCCUCCCUGUUUGCCUCGGGGCUGCAUGUAGAGGACCCC